CAAGCCAGUUGGAGCUCGCUCCGCAACGGUGGGUCUGCGAACGGCUCAUUACAACAGUAAUGAUCUACACGGUGAAAGCGGGGCCACCCCGCCAGACGGAUAACCAUGCGAAAACGCCGGGCUAAUACAUGAACAAGAUCCAGUUCCGUCCAAUGGGUGAGGGGAAACCUGAUCCCAUGGAGUUGGAUUGCCUAUGGCUACGAUAAGAACCAACGCCAGCAAUGGCAGUGAUAUGAUUGAUGAAUCAAGCCAUAGAGCGAUAGCGCAUGCCUCGAGCAGCGCAGGACCGUACGAAUUUCUGCCCUAUCAGCUUUGAUGGUAGCGCAGUGGGCUACCAUGGCUGCAACGGGUACGAGGAAUCAGGGUUCGAUUCCGGAGAGGGAGCCUGAGAAACGGCUACCACGGGUACGCCCGGCAGCAGGCGCGCAAAUUGCCCAAUCGUCAUUGACGGAGGCAGCGAAGAGAAAUAUCAAUCCUGGCUUUGAAGUCGGGAGUGAAGUGGGCUGUAUGUAAAACAACGGCGUUCCAGAUUGGAGGACAAGCCCGGUGCCAGCACCCGCGGUAAUUCCGGCUCCAAGAGCGUAUAUUGACGCUGCUGCUGUUAAAGGGUUCGUAGUUGGGGCAAGAGACUUGGGUUAGGCUGGUGCCAUUUCAGUGGCAUACGCCAGCACUUGCCCUGCUCGUUAGAUACGAACAGAGCUCCUGCGGACACUCCUCCGGGGGUUGAUGCAACACCGCAUAUAUCGUGCAGGGAGCAUCCGUAGUAUCACUGUGAACAAAACAGCGUGUCCAAAGCAGCCUUUUACGGCUGAAUGCAAAAGCAUGGAAUGACAAGGGAUCGACCAUUGGUGCCAUCCCCCUUGUUGGUUUAUGAGGCCCAAAGGAGAGACGAGUUUGCGCGCCAAAGCGUGUGUGCAGGGCGAGCUUCGGUUCAAUCUGCCACGCGUAAGGCGCCUUCUCGGCUGGGAUCAACAGGGGCUGUCGGGGGAAGACGUAUGGGUAUGCGAGAGGUGAAAUUCUGUGACCAUACUCAGACGAACCGAUGCGAAGGCUUCUUCCAAGUAUGCCUUCAUUAAUCAAGAACCAAAGCGUGGAGAUCGAAGAUGAUUAGAUACCAUCGUAGUCCACGCUGUAAAUGCUGGCGCCCAUGGGCUGGGUAGCUUGCUUUGGACUCCCCAGAACGAUCUAUUCCCACGAGAAAUCUCUGAGGUUAUGGCCUCAUGGGGGAGUACGUUCGCAAGGCUGAAACUUAAAGAAAUUGACGGAAUGGCACCACCAGGCGUGGAGCGUGCGGUUUAAUUUGACUCAACACGGGGAACCUUACCAGGUCAGAACCCCGUUAGGAUUGACAGAUUGACAGCUCUUUCUUGAUUCGGAUGAUGGUGGUGCAUGGCCGCUCUUCGUUGGUGGAGUGAUUUGUUUGGUUGAUUCCGUGAACGAACGAGAUCUCAGCCUCUAAAUAGGGGAUGGUCACUACGGGCGGUUUGCGGCCUUCGGGAUUCGCGACCGUCUAGACGCCACCUGCCUUCUUAGAGGAACAUCGUGCGCCUUUUAGCACGAUGGAGCGAGCCAAUAGCAGGUCUGUGAUGCCCCUAAAUGUUCUGGGCUACACGCGCACUACACUGACAGAGUGAGCGAGUUUGAGCUCGCCUUGCGAGCCUGCUCCGAAAGGAGUGGGAAACCUUUAAAACUCUGUCGUGAUGGGGAUCGCAGAUUGCAAUUAUUCCUCUUGAACGAGGAAUGCCUAGUAGGCGCAUUUCAUCAGAGUGCACUGAUUACGUCCCUGCCAUUUGUACACACCGCCCGUCGUUGCUGCCGAUUGGGCGAAGGAUAGAGGUUGAUGGAGGCGGUUGGGUUCGUCCUGACAACAGAAGUCCACCGAUAUCCUUCGUCUAGAGGAAGCAAAAGUCGC
rnacentral:rRNA from 1 species